GAUGAACGCUGGCGGCGUGCCUAAUACAUGCAAGUCGAGCGAAUGGAUUAAGAGCUUGCUCUUAUGAAGUUAGCGGCGGACGGGUGAGUAACACGUGGGUAACCUGCCCUUAAGACUGGGAUAACUCCGGGAAACCGGGGCUAAUACCGGAUAACAUUUUGAACCGCAUGGUUCGAAAUUGAAAGGCGGCUUCGGCUGUCACUUAUGGAUGGACCCGCGUCGCAUUAGCUAGUUGGUGAGGUAACGGCUCACCAAGGCAACGAUGCGUAGCCGACCUGAGAGGGUGAUCGGCCACACUGGGACUGGGACACGGCCCAGACUCCUACGGGGGGCAGCAGUAGGGAAUCUUCCGCAAUGGACGAAAGUCUGACGGGGCAACGCCGCGUGAGUGAUGAAGGCUUUCGGGUCGUAAAACUCUGUUGUUAGGGAAGAACAAGUGGUAGUUGAAUAAGCUGGCACCUUGACGGUACCUAACCAGAAAGCCACGGCUAACUACGUGCCAGCAGCCGCCGUAA
rnacentral:rRNA from 1 species